UUAGAUUUAGAUUUUGUUUUCGUUAAACAAUGUUUCUCAUUUCAUGAGAACUUGGUUUUCGUUUUAUGCUUUUAUUUAUUUUGUUUUCUUUUGAUCAGUAAAUAUGUUUUAUUUUUCGUUUGAUUUUGAAUGAUCACGGUUGAUGUUCCUUAUUUUUGAAUAGAUUUUACUUAAGUUUUGGUUACAAAAUAGGUACAAAUCAGGUAUUUUAAAACAGAAGAACCGAUUUUACUCAUGUUUUGGUUAUAAAAUAGGUAAAAAUCAGGUAUUUUUAAACCGAAAAACCGAUUGGGACCCGAACCCGAAAAUAUAUUGGGUUGUACCGGUUCUUUGAAGAUUUACUAACACCGACCCGAACCCGAUAGAACCCGAACCGGUCCCAAACCGAAUUUUCAUAUAAUCCGAAUGAGGCUGAUUUUGAUAAACCCGAAAAACCAAAACCCGAUUGGAUAAAACCGAAAUCCGAUUGGGACCCCGAAUGCCCAGGCCUAUCACAAUGUAUCAUAUAAACAAAUCCAAUAUUUAUAACUAAUUAGACUUAUAUUAUGAAAUCAUUAUACUAAUAUAUGAAUAAACUAUUUUAUAUUUUAUUUAGAUGUUAUAUAAAUUAAUUAUGAUGUGUGAUUUUUUUAUUUUUUUUAUUUAUUACUUAUAAAUAUUAAAAAUAUUGAAUAUGUUAAUAUGGAAUAUAUUAGGAAAUUUAUUUUGGUUAUGAUUUGAUAAAGGAAAUCUAUUAUUUAAAUUUUGGAAAGACAUUAAAUGCUUAAAUCUAUUCAUAAGAGCUCAAAAUUAUCCAUCAUCAUUUUCAUUUAUAAUUUUGUCACAAUAAAAAUAGAAUGAUUUUGCUCAAUAUUCAUAAGAGCUCAAAAAAUUAAAAAUAUAGCCAUUAAAUAGUUGAUGUGAC
rnacentral:lncRNA from 1 species